AGCGAGCGCUGGCGGCAGGCCUAACACAUGCAAGUCGAGCGGUCGUAGCAAUACGGCAGCGGCAGACGGGAGAGUAACACGUGGGAACGCGCCCUUCGGUUCGGGAUAACUCAGGGAAACUUGGGCUAAUACCGGAUACGCCCUUACGGGGAAAGAUUUAUUGCCGAAGGAACGGCCCGCGGCCGAUUAGCUUGUUGGUGAGGUAACGGCUCACCAAGGCGACGAUCGGUAGCUGGUCUGAUAGGAUGACCAGCCUCACUGGGACUCAGACACGGCCCAGUCUCCUACGGGAGGCAGCAGUGGGGAAUAUUGGACAAGGGGCGCUAGCCUGAUCCAGCCAUGCCGCGUGGGUGAUGGAGGCCAUAGGGUUGUAAAGCCCUUUCAGCGGGGAAGAUAAUGACGGUACCCGCAGAAGUAGCCCCGGCUAACUUCGUGCCAGCAGCCGCCGUAAAAC
rnacentral:rRNA from 1 species